rnacentral:rRNA from 1 species
UGAGGAAUAUUGGUCAAUGGGCGAGAGCCUGAACCAGCCAAGUCGCGUGCAGGAUGACGGCCCUAUGGGUUGUAAACUGCUUUUAUAUGGGAAUAAAGUGAGGGACGUGUCCCUUAUUGCAUGUACCAUAUGAAUAAGGACCAGCUAAUUCCGUGCCAGCAGCCGCGGUAAUACGGAAGGUCCAGGCGUUAUCCGGAUUUAUUGGGUUUAAAGGGAGCGUAGGCUGUUUGUUAAGCGUGUUGUGAAAUGUAAGAGCUCAACUUUUAGAUUGCAGCGCGAACUGGCAGACUUGAGUGCGCACAACGUAGGCGGAAUUCAUGGUGUAGCGGUGAAAUGCUUAGAUAUCAUGACGAACUCCGAUUGCGAAGGCAGCUUACGGGAGCGCAACUGACGCUAAAGCUCGAAGGUGCGGGUAUCGAACAGG